CGAGCCUGAGACAGCCACGCCGCGUGCGGGAAGAAGGCCUUCGGGUCGUAAACCGCUUUCAGGAGGGAAGAAGCGAGAGUGACGGUACCUCCAGAAGAAGGACCGGCUAACUACGUGCCAGCAGCCGCGGUAA
rnacentral:rRNA from 1 species